rnacentral:lncRNA from 1 species
AUGUGGAUUUCAAGCUCUCAGUCUGGCUACGAUGAGAAAAAUCCUCUGACACAUAAUUUCCACAGAGCCACAGAAUAUGAGGCUGGAAAGACCCAGAAUGCUCAUCUAGAUGACCUCCCACCUAGGCAGCCCAGAGGCAUUUAACAUCCAAAUUCAUCUGUAAGCAAUCAAAACCACAGGUGAAAGACAAGAACAAAGGAUUUACCUAGUGAAUCAUCAAAGUGCUUUAUUUUAUAAAGCCUUGCUCAUGUUUGGAGUGUAAUCUAAGCACUAACAUACACAAUAAUGAGUCUUCCUUGCCCUGUCCAAAUAAACAGUUUAUGAACAAGAGUGAGUGACAAAAAUGCUACACAGACAAAAAGAAUGCUUUGCUGCAAAUGUCUAAAAUGGUCUAAAAACGUACACUCGUUAGCCGCAAUUAAAUACGUACUCUGAGUACCUUAUUUUUACUCCAGGGUCUCCCUGUGGCCUCAUACCUUCAGAAGCUUC